AAACUUACAAUGCCAUGAAGUUAAAUAACAUGUAAAAUAAAAUAAAGAAGCUUCUUGAAGAAAAUGCUGCUACUGUAUGACUUACGAGUCAGUGAAGACUUUACUG